GACGAACGCUGGCGGCGUGCUUAACACAUGCAAGUCGAGCGGUAAGGCCCUUUCGGGGGUACGACGAGCGGCGAACGGGUGAGUAACACGUGGGUGACCUGCCCUCAGCUCUGGGAUAAGCCUGGGAAACCGGGUCUAAUACUGGAUAUGACUCCAUGACGCAUGUUGUGGGGUGGAAAGCCUUGUGCGGCUGAGGAUGGGCCCGCGGCCUAUCAGCUUGUUGGUGGGGUGAUGGCCUACCAAGGCGACGACGGGUAGCCGGCCUGAGAGGGCGACCGGCCACACUGGGACUGAGACACGGCCCAGAC
rnacentral:rRNA from 1 species